rnacentral:lncRNA from 1 species
UUUUAGCAUUUUCUAAUUUCUGUUUUAUUUUUCUUUUAUUCCUUUUUAUUUCAAAAAUUCAUAACUAUUUUAUUUGGAAUCACAAAAAUAUGAGACCAACACUAAAAAUUUUCUUGAAAAAUCUAGUUUCAUAAUCUGAUUUUUAAUCAUUUUUGUGAUUCAAUUUAAUAUUUUUUGUGAAUUAUUUUGUUUUUAAUAGUUUUUAAUUCAUUUUAA